UACAGAGGGUGCGAGCGUUAAUCGGAAUUACUGGGCGUAAAGGGCGCGUAGGCGGUUAUAUAAGUUGGAUGUGAAAUCCCUGGGCUUAACCUAGGAACUGCAUCCAAGACUGUAUGACUAGAGUGCAGUAGAGGAUAGUGGAAUUUCCGGUGUAGCGGUGAAAUGCGUAGAUAUCGGAAGGAACACCAGUGGCGAAGGCGGCUAUCUGGACUGACACUGACGCUGAGGCGCGAAAGCGUGGGUAGCAAACAGG
rnacentral:rRNA from 1 species